UGUAAUGUGUAAAUAACUAACAAGCAUCGCGGAAAAACACCGAUAAAUAUGUAUGAAGUGUUUUCUUGGUUCCACCUGAACCAAAAGGUUUUCUUGCCACUGACGAUGUGCAGUUUUAUGACAUGUAUUGAAAUCAGACACUUGGAAGCUCGGUUGACUGAUGGCGUAGCGCCGCCGUCUUGUAAUGUGUUGCUCUUUUGCUCGACUGGGUUUGAAUCCAGGUUGUGACGAUCUUUUAAUAAAUGUUCUUUUAGGUUUUAUCUACUGAGGCAGACAACAUGUGCCGCUGUCGGGUCAAAACACAGAUGACGACAUGGAGGUGGAGACUGCUGAAGAAGUCGAGCUGUCCCUUCCUUCAGGCUGUCGUGUGAUAAGAGCGUCCUGGCUCUGAUGGAGGGACGGACGCUCGGCAACGGCGCCAACCGCCUGCGCUCGUACCUGGUGGAGCAGCACACCGAGGCCUGGAUCAACAGCUGCUUCCGCUUCAUGGCUGUUUACGACAGCUUCGUGAGGACGGGAGUGAGUGUUCCUCCUCCAGCCCUGCCAGAGAUGGACCGGGUCCCACCAGGCAGUGGCUCCUCUCGGCCUUUGCCACAGACAGCUUCAGCGGCAUGAAUGAGAUGUUGGCCAAGGUGACCUCCAUCUUUGGCUCCAUCCUCAAAAUGGACUCCACCAAGAAGGUAAAAACAGGCUGUACAGCAUCCGGCUGGUGGACAGCUACACCGGGACACGGGAGUACACAGGGGAGCUGGUAGGGGUUAGCUACUUGUACUCCCAGACCGGCCGGGUGCUGCAGGACAUACCUGAAGAUGUUGACAUCCCAGGGGAGGAGGAG